rnacentral:sRNA from 1 species
CAGCGGCAAUUUUUCGCCGUGGUCCGGCCAAGGCUCGUCCCCCGCCUUUUCCGGGCAAUAGCGGCAGCCUCAUCCCCCCUCUCCGGGCUGCCGCGGUGUUUCAAGCAUGGCCGCCGUGGUAUCCCCUCCACCACGGCGGCACUUG